rnacentral:lncRNA from 1 species
UUGGCCAUUUUUCCGCUGGGGGGUCUUGGGACCCCGACCUUCGGGAGCUGGUUUUUGGGCGCGUCUGUGCCCGUGGCCUAUUUUGGGCACACGGAGGCCGCCCGCCAAGUCUGGUGCCAUUCCGAGUCCCGCGGAUGAACUUCGCCCACGCCCCCCACCAAGGCUAUAGCCCACCCGUUUUUUGGCAUUUUUCCGCUGGGGGGUCUUGGGACCCCGACCUUCGGGUGCUGUAUUUUGGGCGCGGCUGUGCCCGCGGCGUAUUUUUGGCACACGGAGGCGGCCUGCCAAGUCUGGUGCCAUUCCGAGUCCCGCGGACGAACUUCGCCCACGCCCCCCACCAAGGCUAUAGCCCACCCGUUUUUUGGCCAUUUUUCCGCUGGGGGGUCUUGGGACCCCGACCUUCGGGGGCUGGUUUUUUGGCGCGGCUGUGCCCGUGGCCUAUUUUUGGCACACGGAGGCCGCCCGCCAAGUCUGGUGCCAUUCCGAGUCCCGCGGACGAACUUCGCCCACGCCCCCCACCAAGGCUAUAGCCCACCCGUUUUUUGGCCAUUUUUCCGCUGGGGGGUCUUGGGACCCCGAACUUCGGGGGCUGUUUUUUUGGCGCGGCUGUGCCCGUGGCCUAUUUUUGGCACACGGCGGCCGCCCGCCAAGUCUGGUGCCAUUCCGAGUCCUGCGGACGAACUUCGCCCACGCCCCCCACCAAGGCUAUAGCCCACCCGUUUUUUGGACAUUUUUCCGCUGGGGGGUCUUGGGACCCCGACCUUCGGGGGCUGUUUUCUGGGCGCAGCUGUGCCCGUGGCCUAUUUUUGGCACACGGAGGCCGCCCGCCAAUUGUGGUGCCAUUCCGAGUCCCGCGGACGAACUUCGCCCACGCCCCCCACCAAGGCUAUAGCCCACCCGUUUUUUGGCCAUUUUUCCGCUGGGGGGUCUUGGGACCCCGACCUUCGGGGGCUGGUUUUUGGGCGCGGCUGUGCCCGUGGCCUCUUUUUGGUACACGGAGGCCGCCCGCCAAGUCUGGUGCCAUUCCGAGUCCCGCGGACGAACUUCGCCCACGCCCCCCACCAAAGCUAUAGCCCACCCGUUUUUUGGCCAUUUUUCCGCUGGGGGGUCUUGGGACCCCGACCUUCCGGGGCUGUUUUUUGGGCCCGGCUGUGCCCGUGGCCUAUUUUUGGCACACGGAGGCCGCCAGCCAAGUCUGGUGCCAUUCCGAGUCCCGCGGACGAACUUCGCCCACGCCCCCCACCAAGGCUAUAGCCCACCCGUUUUUUCGCCAUUUUUCCGCUGGGGGGUCUUUGGACCCCGACCUUCGGGGGCUGUUUUUUGGGCGCGGCUGUGCCCGUGGCCUAUUUUUGGCACACGGAGGCCGCCCGUCAAGUCUGGUGCCAUUCCGAGUCCCGCGGACGAACUUCGCCCACGCCCCCCACCAAGGCUAUAGCCCACCCGUUUUUUGGCCAUUUUUCCGCUGGGGGGUCUUGGGACCCCGACCUUCGGGGGCUGUUUUUUGGGCGCGGCUGUGCCCGUGGCCUAUUUUUGGCACACGGAGGCCGCCCGCCAAGUCUGGUGCCAUUCGGAGUCCCGCGGACGAACUUCGCCCACGCCCCCCACCAAGGCUAUAGCCCACCCGUUUUUUGGCCAUUUUUCCGCUGGGGGGUCUUGGGAGCCCGACCUUCGGGGGCUGUUUUUUGGGCGCGGCUGUGCCCCUGGCCUAUUUUUGGCACACGGAGGCCGCCCGCCAAGUCUGGUGCCAUUCCGAGUCCCGCGGACGAAUUUCGCCCACGCCCCCCACCAAGGCUAUAGCCCACCCGUUUUUUGGCCAUUUUUCCGCUGGGGGGUCUUGGGACCCCGACCUUCGGGGGCUGUUUUUUGGGCGCGGCUGUGCCCGUGGCCUAUUUUUGGCACACGGAGGCCGCCCGCCAAGUCUGGUGCCAUUCCGAGUCCCGCGGACGAACUUCGCGCACGGCCCCCACCAAGGCUAUAGCCCACCUGUUUUUUGGCCAUUUUUCCGCUGGGGGGUCUUGGGACCCCGAACUUCGAGGGCUGUUUUUUGGGCGCGGCUGUGCCCGUGGCCUAUUUUUGGCACACGGAGGCCGCCCGCCAAGUCUGGUGCCAUUCCGAGUCCUGCGGACGAACUUCGCCCACGGCCCCCACCAAGGCUAUAGCCCACCUGUUUUUUGGCCAUUUUUCCGCUGGGGGGUCUUGGGACCCCGAACUUCGAGGGCUGUUUUUUGGGCGCGGCUGUGCCCGUGGCAUAUUUUUGGCACACGGAGGCCGCCCGCCAAGUCUGGUGCCAUUCCGAGUCCCGCGGACGAAUUUCGCCCACGCCCCCCACCAAGGCUAUAGCCCACCCGUUUUUUGGCCAUUUUUCCGCUGGGGGGUCUUGGGACCCCGACCUUCAGGGGCUGUUUUUUGGGCGCGGCUGUGCCCCUGGCCUAUUUUUGGCACACGGAGGCCGCCCGCCAAGUCUGGUGCCAUUCCGAGUCCCGCGGACGAACUUCGCCCACGCCCCCCACCAAGGCUAUAGCCCACCCGUUUUUUGGCCAUUUUUCCGCUGGGGGGUCUUGGGACCCCGACCUUU